rnacentral:miRNA from 1 species
AUAUUUCUUGCCUCUACCAAU